UACAUGUGGGGCAAGCGUUGUUCGGAAUUACUGGGCAUAAAGGGUGCGUAGGCGGUUCGUUAAGUCUGUUGUGAAAUCCCCGGGCUCAACCUGGGAAUGGCAAUGGAUACUGGCGAGCUAGAGUGUGAUAGAGGAUGGUGGAAUUCCCGGUGUAGCGGUGAAAUGCGUAGAGAUCGGGAGGAACACCAGUGGCGAAGGCGGCUACCUGGACCAGCACUGACACUGAGGCACGAAAGCGUGGGGAGCAAACAGG
rnacentral:rRNA from 1 species